CCCUAUUAUGAAAUAAUAAAAUAAAAUUAGUAUAAAUGAAAUUUAAUAUUUUUGGCGGCUAAUUGUUGAUUUAGAGGAGCUUGUUGAUUGUUAGAAUUUACUCUUUAAAUUUUAUUAAUGAGUUGUUUAUUUAUCUCCGUUAUAAGAUAAAGAUUGUAAAAAUUUAAAUAUGUUAUUUCAGGUCAAGAUAUAGCUAUCAUUUUUUUUAAUUAGCUACAAUUUAGGAAAAUUGGAUUUAAUUUUAGUAAAAAAUAAUGAAAUUGAAUUUAGUUGUAAUAGUAUUUAUUAGAAUAUUAUGAAAUUUUAUAAUUAGUGUA
rnacentral:rRNA from 1 species